rnacentral:rRNA from 1 species
UACGUAGGCAGCGAGCGUUGUUCGGAGUUACUGGGCGUAAAGGGUGUGUAGGCGGUUUGUUUAAGUUUGGUGUGAAAUCUCCCGGCUCAACUGGGAGGGUGCGCCCGAAUACUGAAUAACUAGAGUGCGGGAGAGGAGAGUGGAAUUCCUGGUGUAGCGGUGAAAUGCGCAGAUAUCAGGAAGAACACCUAUGGCGAAGGCAGCUCUCUGGGACGGUACUGACGCUGAGACGCGAAAGCGUGGGGAGCGAACAGG